rnacentral:tRNA from 1 species
GCGAGNACUAGCUCAGCUGGUAGAGCGCGACCUUGCCAAGGUCGAGGUCACGAGUUCGAACCUCGUUACUCGCUCCA